rnacentral:rRNA from 1 species
GUAGGGAAUCUUCCGCAAUGGACGAAAGUCUGACGGAGCAACGCCGCGUGAGUGAUGAAGGUUUUCGGAUCGUAAAACUCUGUUGUUAGGGAAGAACAAGUUGGGUAGUAACUGACCCAACCUUGACGGUACCUAACCAGAAAGCCACGGCUAACUACGUGCCAGCAGCCGCGGUAAUACGUAGGUGGCAAGCGUUGUCCGGAAUUAUUGGGCGUAAAGCGCUCGCAGGCGGUCUUUUAAGUCUGAUGUGAAAGCCCACGGCUUAACCGUGGAGGGUCAUUGGAAACUGGAGGACUUGAGUACAGAAGAGGAGAGUGGAAUUCCACGUGUAGCGGUGAAAUGCGUAGAGAUGUGGAGGAACACCAGUGGCGAAGGCGACUCUCUGGUCUGUAACUGACGCUGAGGAGCGAAAGCGUGGGUAGCGAACAGGAUUAGAAACCCUAGUAGUCC